AGCUAUGACCCCAAAAAGGUUUAUUCUGUAAAGUUUUUUUUUUUCUUACAGUUACAUAACUCACUGCAGUGCAUUAACACAAAUGUUCCUUCAAGCGUGCAACAUGCUGCACUGAGCCACCUCGCCUGCUCUCUCUCUAUCGUUACUGGCUGUGUGAUCAAAUCAUCUCUGACAGGACGAGGCUUUUCAUGUGUGUGUGUGUGUGUGUGUGUGUGUGAAACUAAAGAGCAGGGACACACACUCAGUAUGACAGUGUGCUGUCAGUCUGCUACUGAAGCUGAGGACGAGCAGCAGCGGCGUAUCACCUUCAAACUGAAGGUUGUGUCGACUUGUCGUUGAAGCUCCGGCAGCAGAAAUGAUCAUCAGACUGGGGAGACUAACACCAGGCUACUUCCGUCUCCUCCAGCGGCAGGUGUCAGGUGAGGUCCGGAUGCAGCCGCAGGGAAACUUUGUCGACCCCAUCGCCAUGGUGAUGGCAACUGUCGGGACGGGGGUGUGUCUGUACAGUGCCAGACAGAUGUCAGAGCGGGUCCAGCUGAAUCAAGACGCUUGAGAUCAACUACAAACCCCCACCCACCGUCUGUCUGUUUGAUCGAUUGUUUUAUCGACAGAAUGUUUGUUUGUUUGUGAAAGUCAGAGGAGGUUAAAGAUGGAGGAGGGUGACGAUGUUUUUGUGUUUGCGAUGUCAACAGAAGGGAAAUCUGUAGUGUGUGAUGAGAGGAAAGUGUGAGUUGUUGUCCAGCAGGAAGAUUUAUUUAGAACACAUUUAUACACAAAAAGUUUCAGAAAGAGCCAACAACCAUUUUAAAACCCACAUUUUCUGUUCAGAACAACACUAGUAACACCAGAUAAAUAAAAUAGAAGAAAAGAGAUAAAAAAAACAACUGUUGUUGAAAUCUCACCAACAGGCUGAUUCUGAAGAGAUGAAGUUUAAGCAUUAGCUAGUUCCUAUACAUUUGUUUACAACACAAAUUUUCAAUGAAAAUAAUUAAAAGCGGCAGAAAAUACUGUCGCAAUACUGCCACGUUAGCGUUCGAAGAUAAACGUCAACUUUUGCUUUAUGAGUAACAGACUGAAAAUGCUGUUGGCAGAUUCAUAAUGAGUUUGCAUUAGUGAAGGUAAAAAACAGAGAAGUCGGGGGGAGAAAACAUGCACGCUCGCCAUUGUUAGCAAUACUAUUCAGUUAUUUUGCACACGGAAACAGCGUAGCAACAUGUCUACAGUUAAAAAUUUUAAAAAUUCCACUCUAUCAACAAACUAUUCAGUUGUUGGUAAUUUGAUGUAACAGUUAAAUAAAUUGUGUUUAAAAUAAUGUUUUUGGUGUGUGUGUGUAGAUUUAUUUUCUCUGGUUUCAUCCACCAAGUGGAAAAGGUCCAAGGAAAACUGGUGCUGUCGGGUGACUGCACAAACUGUACAGAGUGAUUCAUGUGAAUAAAACUCACACAGGAAGGGGUUUCACUGUGAAUGAGAUGAAAGUCAACGUGGUCUUUGACCGAGGACUGUUCUCCCUGUUUUCUUCGGUCUAGUUUUAUGUGUUUGAAUAAAUUGUUUUUA